rnacentral:lncRNA from 1 species
AAAGAUGGACCAGGGAUAGUGUUUCUAUAUUAGGAUCAUGGAUGGCUUUACUAGGCCAUGCCAAAAAGACACCAGGCCCUGUCUGUGAAGAGCUUCUUCCAGGUUUUCCUUGGCCUCUUCCAGAGUGCAAACUGCUGGCAGAUGUUACCUCUGUUAAGCAUGCUGGAUUUAUUAUCUUAUUUUAGCCUGGCUAAGAGUGCUCAGAUCUUUAUCUUGGAAUGAAAAGCUGCAGGCUGUUGAUCAGAAAUGCACAUGGAACAGCCACGUGGAUAUUCAGAAACACAACUACACAGCACAGCCAGUUUCCUUCAGUACAUGCUCACGGAGCUCGGCUGCCUCCACUUCUCCUCGGGCUGAGGAUUCACCUUCCUUUUGGCACACUGUCACCGGAGUUGUUUCAGGGAUAAUGGGACAUUUUCUUACAUUCUUAUUUCCAGUAGCAUAGAGUUAAAACAGUUUCUUCUAAUUUUAGCUGAGUGUGAACUGAAAAGCAGAAAUUUAUUGCCUGGAGGCCCAUAUCUAUUUGACUGACCUAUGACCCCAUUAGUACAUGCUGCUACUAUACUUUAUGGCAUUCCACACCUGUAUUGUGCUGCUCUUGACAUCAGCAUCACUUAAUAUGAGCAGAGACAUUUGUAUGUUAAUGACCAGAAUAUCUGAAGAAGUUAAGUAGAUGAUUAAAGAUAUUGCUAGUUUUGUUAGCUCUCCAGAGGUUGAGUCCAUGAUAAUUUUUGCUGUUCUUCCAGUGAAAUCUCCUUUAAAAUCUCUUUUUCUCCUAUUAAAUCCAACAGUUGUGGUAUAGGUUUUGUAGACUGAAAAACAAAAAAGUAAUGGAAGAGGGAAUAUCUGUAAAAAUAAAUAUGUUUCUAUCUGAAGCUUUUAUUUUAUUAAUCAUUGGUAGAACUAAUGAUCUUAUUGAAGCAGAAGGAGCAGAAUUCAUUGUAGACAAUUCUUUGACUUGAUUGCUGGAAAUAGAUUCUCUUUCAUUAAAUAAUGGAACACCCUAUUAUUUCUGUAGUAGCUCUUUUAACCAUACUGUCCUUGCAGAGAGUGUUUUGGGGAGCAUAUGGAUAUAAGGAAGGAGCAUAUGAAGGAGUGCAGGAUCUGGCGGAAAUGCAAUUAGUGCCACCACCUUCAGAGAAGCCACUUAAUCAUUUAAAGAGCUGCCAUGCUUCAGGGGAGCAUGGAAAACCCCCUUCUUGACAUGUCCUCAGCCUACCUGACCGUGGCACCAGGAAAAUAGCCUCCAUGGAACAGAACUGCAGCAAUCUUUCCAUUUUCAGUGUUUUCACACUACAGCCAGCCACUGACUGGGAAACACUGGAUUCUCCUCCACUUCUAUCCUCUGGCACAAAAUUUCGUUUCCUACUGUGAUAAGUGAUUUAAGGUCAACUUUUCUGUAUUUACAGUGUGUGGCUUAAAAUAUAAACACCCUUUGUGCUUUGUUAUUGUGUGCACCACUGAAUGCUUUCACAGAUAGAUGCUGCUAUAAAGGAUGGCUUAGAAAUUCUAAAUGAAAAAGCAGCCAGUGCCACUGGGGAAUAGAGUACUCUACCCAUAAAGGCACAUAGUCUGCUUUGACCAGUUCACAAUAUAAUGCUCUUUAUGAAACAUAUUUAGUGCAAGGCUGAAGUUUAUGUAUCAUAAAAGAAGACCAAAACAAUCUUUCUGUCCUUUUCAGCCUUUGGUGGGGGCUUUGAUCAACUAUUUAAUUAAAAAUGGAGGUGUCUCAAGUUUUGAGUUCUGAUGCAGUUCUGCAUAAAAAUGGAAACAGAGACCUUUCUGGAGAACAAGUUCUCACUUUUCUUUCUGUACAAGAAUGUCACGACAUUUUAAAGCCUAUGGGCACUUUGUUUUCUUCCACUCCUUAAAUAAACAGCACAAUACUUUUUGAACA